rnacentral:rRNA from 1 species
UACAGGGGGUGCAAACGUUGCUCGGAAUCAUUGGGCGUAAAGCGCACGUAGGCGGUUCGUUAUGUCGGAUGUGAAAGCCCUUGGCUUAACCGAGGAAGUGCAUCCGAAACUGGCGAGCUAGAGUACUAAAGAGGAUCGCGGAAUUCCCGGUGUAGAGGUGAAAUUCGCAGAUAUCAGGAGGAACACCGGUGGCGAAGGCGGUUCUCUGGGCAUUACCUGACGCUGAGGAGCGAAAGUGUGGGGAGCGAACAGG